rnacentral:rRNA from 1 species
UCGAACGGAGCUUAGAGAGCUUGCUUUUUAAGCUUAGUGGCGAACGGGUGAGUAACGCGUGAGUAACCUGCCCUAGAGUGGGGGACAACAGUUGGAAACGACUGCUAAUACCGCAUAAGCCCACGGGUCGGCAUCGACCUGAGGGAAAAGGAGUGAUCCGCUUUGAGAUGGCCUCGCGUCCGAUUAGCUAGUUGGUGAGGUAAUGGCCCACCAAGGCGACGAUCGGUAGCCGGACUGAGAGGUUGAACGGCCACAUUGGGACUGAGACACGGCCCAAACUCC